rnacentral:rRNA from 1 species
UACGAAGGUCCCAAGCGUUGUUCGGAAUCACUGGGCGUAAAGGGAGCGUAGGCGGCGUGGUAAGUCAGAUGUGAAAUCCCGGGGCUCAACCCCGGAACUGCAUCCGAUACUGCCAUGCUAGAGGAUUGGAGAGGUAGCUGGAAUUCUUGGUGUAGCAGUGAAUGCGUAGAGAUCAAGAGGAACACUCGUGGCGAAAGCGAGCUACUGGACAAUUCCUGACGCUGAGGCUCGAAGGCUAGGGUAGCGAAAGGG